rnacentral:rRNA from 1 species
AUUGAACGCUGGCGGCAGGCCUAACACAUGCAAGUCGAACGAGUGGCGGACGGGUGAGUAAUGUCUGGGAAACUGCCCGAUGGAGGGGGAUAACUACUGGAAACGGUAGCUAAUACCGCAUACCAUCGGAUGUGCCCAGAUGGGAUUAGCUUGUAGGUGAGGUAAUGUAUCACCUAGGCGACGAUCCCUAGCUGGACUGCGAGGAUGAACAGCCAGACUGGAACUGAGACACGGUCCAGACUCCUACGGGAGGCAGCAGUGGGGAAUAUGGCACAAUGGGCGCAAGCCGGAUGCAGCCAUGCCGCGUGUAUGAAGAAGGCCUUCGGGUUGUAAAGUACUUUCAGCGGAGAGGAGUUAGCCGCAUAAGAAGCACCGGCUAACUCCGUGCCAGCAGCCGCGGUAAUUC